UGCAAGUCGAACGAACGGAGAUAGCUUGCUAUCGAAGUUAGUGGCGGACGGUGAGUAACACGUGAGCAGUCUGCCUUAAUGGGGAAUACGAUUGGAAACGGUCGGUAAUACCGCAUAAUAUAGCGAAACCGCAUGAUUUUGCUAUCAAAGAUUUAUCGCUUAAAGAUGAGCUCGCGUCUGAUUAGCUAGUUGGUGAGGUAACGGCUCACCAAGGCGACGAUCAGUAGCCGGACUGAGAGGUUGAACGGCCACAUUGGGACUGAGACACGGCCCAGACUCCUACGGGAGGCAGCAGUGGGGAAUAUUGCACAAUGGGCGCAAGCCUGAUGCAAGCGAUGCCGCGUGAGGGAAGAAGGUUUUCGGAUUGUAAACCUCUGUUGACAGGGACGAUAAUGACGGUACCUGUUCAGAAAGCUCCGGCUAACUACGUGCCAGCAGCUGC
rnacentral:rRNA from 1 species